rnacentral:lncRNA from 1 species
CUGAACCCAGCUGGGUUUCCAUGAAGAGUGACCAGUCAAUAGAUGAUAUAAUCAACUUCAGUUCAGGAGACUUUUCUGCUGAUCUGAGGAAACUCAGCAUGGAGGAAGAGGAUGAAGGCCAGAGAAAAUUCAAACAUGGGUUUCCGAACAUCACAUUGCUUGUUCAGAGAAAGUUGAAUCAAAUGGACCUCACUACUACGCUACAGAAAAAUCUUGUUCCUGUGUCUCCACAAAAACACAAAUCCAGACUGGGAGAGAAAUUCCAGUUGCUAAAUGACGGAAUAUCAUAUCAAGGGAACUUAACACUUUUGAAUGAGAUCUAUACAGAGCUCUUCAUCACGCAGGGAG